UACGGAGGGAGCUAGCGUUGUUCGGAAUUACUGGGCGUAAAGGGCUCGUAGGUGCCAACUAAGUCGGACGUGAAAUCCCUCGGCUUAACCGGGGAACUGCGUCCGAUACUGGUUGGCUUGAGUUUGGGAGAGGGAUGCGGAAUUCCAGGUGUAGCGGUGAAAUGCGCAGAUAUCAGGAGGAACACCGGUGGCGAAGGCGGGUCUCUGGGCCGAUACUGACGCUGGAGGAGCGAAAGCGUGGGGAGCGAACAGG
rnacentral:rRNA from 1 species